AUUUAUGAAUAAUGAAACAAAGUGAAAAGGAAAACCCAAAACGCUGUCGCAUUGGGAUAGAAUAGACACUCUUAAACCCCAGGGGUUUGUUUCAGAGACGAUUGAAUGAUUCAUUACACAGUACACGCAGAGAAGACAAAGUGAAGGAGAAAAGAGAAAAAGAGAGAGAAAUGGAAGAACUAAGGAAGCUGGAACAAGUGCAGAAGAUAUUAUCCCUCAUGCAAUCUUGUAGUUUGCUCUCUUCUUCCACCUCUUCCAACAACGACCAAAGUCGCUUCAUUGCUAAUCUAAUCCUCCUCAUGGUACAACCUUCCGGCGAACUUGAUAUGGUCAAGAAGCUCUCUUUGGUUUCCGAGUAUCUACCGAAAAUAUCAGUUGAGUUCCUUGAGGAGGCAUCAACAUGGCUUGGUCCAGAACAUGGAUCACAGAACAAGAAUACAGAUCUGAUGGGCCAUAGUUCAUCGGCACCUAAUCAUGAAGAUGUAGCAAUGGUGGGGUUGGAUGCCAUGCAAAGGGCAAAUUCUACUCUUGAAGAUUUUUGCAGAUCUUAUUUUAUGUUUCACGGAAUGGAUAUAAACAAUCCACAUUCAAUAUUCAAAUAUUUGCCUGUGCUUUCAUUCACCGAAAGUUACAUUUAUCAGCUGGAUAGUUUGAAUGAGAAGAUGAUGAGUGUAAGAGCCAGCCAUGAUGUUUUAGAAAGAGAGCAUGAAAUGGUGCAGGAAACAAAUCAGAGCUGGAUUGCUAAGUUCAUGGCUUCAUUCGAAACUAGUCCAUUCCGACCACUCGAAGUUUUGCUUAAAUGUAAUGGCCUUUUGACUGAGAGGAUUGUACAAGAGCUUAAGUCUGGGGAAGAAUACUGGGCACUAGAAAGAAAGCUUUGCAGUGCACUAGUGAGCAAACAGGAGAUCUGUUUUGAAGAUGUGAUGAGGGCAAUUCGCUUGAAGUCCUUUGAUUAUCGGGUGCUGAAUCUUCUUUUAUUCCAGUUGAGAGGAGAAGAGGUGAAUGACUUGCAUAUGGAAUUUUUAUCAAUCUCAGAAUUCCUGGUAGAGGUCUCUGAUGAUCUAUUUGAUUACGAGGAUGAUGUGUUAGAGAAUAAUUUCAACAUUUUACGCAUGUUUGUCAAAAUAUUUGGGCCAUCACCGGCUCCAGCCAUGCUGGGAAAAUUGUUUUCUUUCAGGCUAAGUAUAUAACUGAGGCGGAAGACAAAUAUGACAGUCUGAUGAAAACCUUGGAACCCCAGCUGUCCUUAAAAUAUCAAAGGAGAUGUGAAGAAGCCACCAAAGAAGGUGGGAAGAUGUCUGGACAUCCUCUUGGGACAUGGAAUAUACCACCUGUAAUUGUAGAUGAGGAAUUUUACCGAUCCAACUUGUUAAGCAAUUAGUGAAUCUCCGUGCCCUCGUGUUGAAACUUUUGGUUCGAAUAUAUUUACACCUAGGAUCUCACUUGAUUGCAGCAUGGCAAACGGAGUCUUUAAUGUUACACGUCUCGUUACUCUGGAGCAAUAGGUUUCACUACCAAUUAUGCCAUGUCCGAGAUUGAGAUCUAUGCUUGAAUAUUAGAUAGCUCCGGAAUCAAACAGUUCAAAAUGAUUUAGUUAUUAUUUAGAGUUCUUUUCUCUUGCUCGCAGACAAUUUGCCAGUGAAAUUGAAUUCUCUUGGAUACUACUCUACGGGAUAUUCGUUGUACUCAUGAGAACUUGUAAUGCAACGCUUAACUGCAUUCUACACUAAUUUAGUACUGGAUAACUGUGAUUAUACAUAUUCUUCUACUGUUAUUGAGUAAAUUACAUCUCAA